rnacentral:rRNA from 1 species
GAUGAACGCUGGCGGCGUGCCUAAUACAUGCAAGUCGAGCGAACAGACGAGGAGCUUGCUCCUCUGACGUUAGCGGCGGACGGGUGAGUAACACGUGGAUACCCUACCUAUAAGACUGGGAUAACUUCGGGAAACCGGCGCUAAUACCGGAUAAUCUAUUGAACCGCAUGGUUCAAUAGUGAAAGACGGCUUUGCUGUCACUUAUAGAUGGAUCCGCGCCGCAUUAGCUAGUUGGUAAGGUCACGGCUUACUACGGCAACGAUGCGUAGCCGACCUGAGAGGGGGAUCGGCCACACUGGAGCUGAGACACGGUCCAGACGCCUACGGGAGGCAGCAGUAGGGAAUCGGACGCAGUGGGCGAAAGCCUGACGGAGCGACGCCGCGUGAGUGAUGAAGGUCUUCGGAUCGUAAAACUCGGUUAUUAGGGAAGAACAAAUGUGUAAUUAACUAUGCACGUCGUGACGGUACCUAAUCAGAAAGCCACGGCUAACUACGUG